AGAAGUUGAAAAUUUACCAAACUCACACAAAUCAAAUAAUUAUGCCAACAAUUUUAACCAAAUUCAUCAAAUGGUAUUUUGUACAUAUAAGAAAGUAGAAUGACAUAAAUGAAAUUGGAUCUUGAUUCUAAAUUAAAGAGAGAGGAAGAAGGAGAAUGGAGGGGCGAGGAGUGUACGUCAUCACAUGUAGACAAACAGUAAUGACCUUUACACGGUAUCUAUAUAGCUGUAAGGAACGGAUGUGUAUAAUAUAUGUAACACCCAGGUAAGAAUAAAACUUAAAUUUAUCAUUUUCUAAUAUGAAACCCAAAGGCUUCACCGUCUAUGCUUGCUUCCUCUUCAGUCUUCACUCUCACUUCGGAUAUUAUUUCUCAAUCUUCCAACCCACUCAUCCUAAACCAGAUCCCACAUUUCUCUCUAAAAGAAACAAAAACAAGAACAAUGGCCUCCUUGUCCUGGGCUCGGUCCGUUCCAGGCGGCCGGCUCCCUGUUCUGGGACCGCCCCAUCUGAUAUCUCCACACGCCUUUCACGGUGGUGGCUGCAGGGAUGGCCAAGCGGGGUUUUGAUGGUUAGGGUUUUGCUUAGUUGGUUCCCCAGGCACCCACUCUCUGCAAUUCGUGAUCUCUGCGGUCCAUACUUGAACCUGUUCCGGAAUAUAAUUCCUCCAAUAUUCGAUACCCUGGAUGUUACCCCGCUUUUGGCUUUUGCGGUUCUGGGCACCCUAGGGUCAAUUCUGAACAAUAGCAGGGGCGGCAUGUCUUGAAGGAGACUGACAACAAGUGGGUUUGUUUGUUUGGUUGGUUAGUGGCGGAAUUUAGGACGAGUAUGCUAUAAUAAUUCAUUUAAUAGAAACUUGGAUUUGAGUUUAGGUUUUUGGUACUUUAUACUGUAAUACCGUAAUUUGGUUAAUUUAAUACAAAAAGUGUUGAUUGUUGGGAUGCCAGAACAAGUCCUCCACCUUUCAACGCAUCUGGCAUUUGAUUAUUGUGUACAGGUGGAUUCUGGGUGUAUCCAUACAUAGUCUGGCAUGGAGAACCAUUGAGAUGAGUUUAUGAAUGCGAAGAAAGUAUAUAUGGUGGAAGGUUCAAAUAGCUGAUGGAGAAUGAGAUGAAAAAGGAGGAGAGUUGGGUUGGCUCCAAACCCCAAAGCAUGGACACGUGUAUGGAAAAUGGAAGAUGCACUGUCCACCUGGAAGUCCUUCGGGAACUUGCAACAUAUAAUAUAUAAUAUAUAUAAUAUAAUGUGUAUAUAUAUUAGUGUAGUGGUAAGGCGCAAGGAGUUUGGUAUAUCAACUAAAUUAGCAGUUCGUAGAGGGACUAUUGAAGAUGAUGAAGAAGGGUGGUUUUGUUUUGGUGUUAGUGUUAUGGAUGGUGGUGGUGGUUGGCGUUGGCAAGGCCGACGAGGAAGCACCAAAUAAUAUCGAAGAAACAGUAGGUAGAGUAAUAUCGGCAUCGGCAGCAUCCUCUCCUCCGCCUCCCAACUCCUAUUGGGAGGAGGUUCGAAAAGUGGUCAAUAGAGCCGUCACCUGCCUCUUCCCACCAAAAAUAGACUUCCGACCAGGAAAACCGGUGGAAGAUGGACAAGUGAAGGGGAAUGAGAAUAUGAAGGAAUCCAUUACCAAGAGCUUCCACACAACCAAACAAAUGGUGGAGGAUUCUGCCAAGGCUGCCGCUCAAACGCUCCGACCACAACCAGAUUCGGAACUCUAGAAUCUCGGUGAUUUCUUCUCUUCUUUGUUUUUUUCUCUCUUUCUUUUUUGUGCUCAAAUUACCUUAUUUCCUUUUACUCCCAACUUAAGGAUUCAUUCAUACUUCGUUAUACAUAUAUUAUGAUACGUUGUUUGUUUCUUCUUCUAUGAAAUUGAAGGAUUAGCUUCUAAUCUCCAA